CAGUCGCCGCGGGAAUACGUAGGGUGCGAGCGUUAAUCGGAAUUACUGGGCGUAAAGCGUGCGCAGGCGGUUAUGUAAGACAGGUGUGAAAUCCCCGGGCUUAACCUGGGAACUGCGCUUGUGACUGCACAGCAAGAGUAUGGCAGAGGGGGGUGGAAUUCCACGUGUAGCAGUGAAAUGCGUAGAGAUGUGGAGGAACACCGAUGGCGAAGGCAGCCCCCUGGGAUAACACUGACGCUCAUGCACGAAAGCGUGGGGAGCAAACAGGAUUAGAUACCCCGUAGUCCCUGUCUCUUAUACA
rnacentral:rRNA from 1 species